GACGAACGCUGGCGGCGUGCCUAAUACAUGCAAGUCGACCUUAGUGGCGAACGGGUGAGUAACACGUGGGUAAUCUACCCAUCAGAAGGGGAUAACACUUGGAAACAGGCGCUAAUCCCGUAUACUGAUGUAUGGACCAGCGGUGCAUUCGCUAGUUGGUGGGGUAACGGCUCACCAAGGCCACGAUGCCUAGCCGACCUGGUAGGGGGAUCGGCCACAUUGGGACUGAUACACGGCCCAAACUCCUACGGGAGGCAGCAGUAGGGAAUCUUCGGCAAUGGACGAAAGUCUGACCCAGCCACGCCGCGUGAGUGAAGAAGGUUUUCGGAUCGUAAAACUCUGUUGUUAGAGAAGCGGUAUCUAACCAGAAAGCCACGGCUAACUACGUGCCAGCAGCCGCGGUAAUUC
rnacentral:rRNA from 1 species